rnacentral:rRNA from 1 species
AGCCAUUAGCAUUUAAGUUGAUCAUGGCUCAGACUGAAGCGCGUAGGCAAGCCUAACACAUGCAAGUCGAACGGUACACAGAGAGCUUGCUCUCGGGUGACGAGUGGCGGACGGGUGAGUAAUGUCUGGGAAACUGCCUGAUGGAGGGGGAUAACUACUGGAAACGGUAGCUAAUACCGCAUAACGUCGCAAGACCAAAGAGGGGGACCUUCGGGCCUCUUGCCAUCAGAUGUGCCCAGAUGGGAUUAGCUAGUAGGUGGGGUAACGGCUCACCUAGGCGACGAUCCCUAGCUGGUCUGAGAGGAUGACCAGCCACACUGGAACUGAGACACGGUCCAGACUCCUACGG